AUGCUCCAGCCUCAGUCAGCAGCAGAGGGGAUUCUGUGGAAUGAGCUGAAAUCAGCUCAGAGUGGAACAGGACAGGGCAGAGGUGCCAGGGCAGGGCUCCUGGGGCAGCAGAAACUGCUCCUGCCUGCUGGGUCUGCACCUGCAGCCCCAGGGAGCAGCUCCAGGGAGCAGAGCUCGGCUCCAGGGAUAUUCCCAGAGCCAUUCCCAGAGCUCAGCUCCUUCCCAGAGCUCAGCUCCAGGGAUAUUCCCAGAGCCAUUCCCAGAGCUCAGCUCCAGAGCCAUUCCCAGAGCCAUUCCCAGAGCUCAGCUCCUUCCCAGAGCUCAGCUCCAGGGAUAUUCCCAGAGCUCAGCUCCAGGGAUAUUCCCAGGGCCAUUCCCAGGGCCAUUCCCAGGGCCAUUCCCAGAGCUCAGCUCCAGGGAUAUUCCCAGAGCCAUUCCCAGAGCUCAGCUCCAGGGAUAUUCCCAGAGCCAUUCCCAGAGCUCAGCUCCAGGGAUAUUCCCAGGGCCAUUCCCAGAGCUCAGCUCCUUCCCAGAGCUCAGCUCCAGGGAUAUUCCCAGGGCCAUUCCCAGAGCUCAGCUCCAGAGCCAUUCCCAGAGCUCAGCUCCAGGGAUAUUCCCAGAGCUCAGCUCCAGGGCCAUUCCCAGAGCUCAGCCCCAGGGAUAUUCCCAGAGCCAUUCCCAGAGCUCAGCCCCAGGGAUAUUCCCAGAGCCAUUCCCAGAGCUCAGCCCCAGGGAUAUUCCCAGGGCCAUUCCCAGGGCCAUUCCCAGAGCUCAGCUCCAGGGAUAUUCCCAGGGCCAUUCCCAGGGAUAUUCCCAGAGCUCAGCUCGGGUUGUCAGAGCAGCGCUCACACCCUGGGGCAAAACAAACACAGAGGGAAGCAACGGCCAGCAGGAACCAGCAAAGGACCCAAACAGGAGCCAAAUAACCUGACCUGUGCUGAGCAGGAUGAAGGAGACACAAGAAAAGGAGGAAAAUUCACUGCUGUACAUCACAGCUUGGGAUCAGCGUGCCUGGGGAACUCACCUGGAAAUCAGCACUCAAAGGAAAAUCCUUUCUGUUUAAACAUGUGGAAGAACAAGCAGCAGUGCAAGAUCCAGCCCUGCUGUCCUGUGCAAGUUUUCUUUCCUGAAAACACACAGGGCAGGUCUAUGGAAACUGCAUUAGGAGUGAGCUCCCACAGCCACCAGUCAGGAUUGCCUUGA
rnacentral:lncRNA from 1 species